GGAGGCGCUCAAAGGUUCCCUCAGAAUGGUUGGAAAUCAUUCGCAGAGUGUAAAGGCACAAGGGAGCUUGACUGCGAGACUUACAAGUCGAGCAGGGUCGAAAGACGGACUUAGUGAUCCGGUGGUUCCGCAUGGAAGGGCCAUCGCUCAACGGAUAAAAGCUACCCCGGGGAUAACAGGCUUAUCUCCCCCAAGAGUUCACAUCGACGGGGAGGUUUGGCACCUCGAUGUCGGCUCAUCGCAUCCUGGGGCUGUAGUCGGUCCCAAGGGUUGGGCUGUUCGCCCAUUAAAGCGGUACGCGAGCUGGGUUCAGAACGUCGUGAGACAGUUCGGUCCCUAUCCGUCGUGGGCGUAGGAAAUUUGAGAGGAGCUGUCCUUAGUACGAGAGGACCGGGAUGGACAUACCUCUGGUGUACCAGUUGUCGUGCCAACGGCAUAGCUGGGUAGCUAUGUAUGGACGGGAUAAGUGCUGAAAGCAUCUAAGCAUGAAGCCCCCCUCAAGAUGAGAUUUCCCAACUUCGGUUAUAAGAUCCCUCAAAGAUGAUGAGGUUAAUAGGUUCGGGGUGUAAGCGCAGUAAUGUGUGUAGCUGACGAAUACUAAUCGAUCGAAGACUUAAUCAAAUU
rnacentral:rRNA from 4 species